GACGAACGCUGGCGGCGUGCCUAAUACAUGCAAGUAGAACGCUGAAGAGAGGAGCUUGCUCUUCUUGGAUGAGUUGCGAACGGGUGAGUAACGCGUAGGUAACCUGCCUUGUAGCGGGGGAUAACUAUUGGAAACGAUAGCUAAUACCGCAUAACAAUGGAUGACCCAUGUCAUUUAUUUGAAAGGGGCAAAUGCUCCACUACAAGAUGGACCUGCGUUGUAUUAGCUAGUAGGUGAGGUAACGGCUCACCUAGGCGACGAUACAUAGCCGACCUGAGAGGGUGAUCGGCCACACUGGGACUGAGACACGGCCCAGACUCCUACGGGAGGCAGCAGUAGGGAAUCUUCGGCAAUGGGGCAACCCUGACCGAGCAACGCCGCGUGAGUGAAGAAGGUUUUCGGAUCGUAAAGCUCUGUUGUAAGUCAAGAACGAGUGUGAGAGUGGAAAGUUCACACUGUGACGGUAGCUUACCAGAAAGGGACGGCUAACUACGUG
rnacentral:rRNA from 1 species